GGCCAGACCCUCUGUGGAGAUGGGGAGGGAGGUCGGAGGGAAUCGCCUGGCCCAGAUCAAGCUCCUGUCUGGCCGCAGAGGCAGCUGCCCCGGGUGGCCGUCCCGUGGGGUGGCCUCCACCAGCCCUGGUCCCUGAGACACUGCGCUGCAAUUAGUCAUGACAGCUUCCCCCGGAAGCGGGGGAGGGGGAAAUUCCGACUUAUUGUCAGCGGUCAUUAGUGGAGAAAGUGCUCAGCCAUAAUUCCAAGAGGGGCCACCUUGAAGACACUGGCUAUGUUCCUCCCCCCUCUAAAUUCCGGAUGUGAAUUGAAAGCACAGAAGCAAUUGCAGGACGGGCCCGAGGCCAAACUCCCUUUGCUGGGUGGAAUCAUAACAAGCAGAUUUUCUUGGUGUAGAAGUGGACUUGGAAGAGAAAUCGAGAACAGGUCGACAGGCAUGGUAGCUGCAGCGUUGACCAUGUGAGGACAGAGGGUCCUGGUGGCCCGUCACUGGGAUAGGUGACAUCCUCCAAGUUGUUCUUGAAACCCAGCUGCCAUCUUGUGAGGAAGCCCAGGCCACAAGAAGAGGCCACGUGGAGGUGUCUCAGCCCCAAUUCAACCAUCAGCAUAGACCUCCAGACCUGAGGGACAGGCCUUCAGAGUGCCCACAGAGCAAAGCAAGCCCUCUGCUGCUCCCUGGCUUGACCUCCUGGCCCAAAGGAACCUCGAGCAACAUAAAGGACGAUCGUUGUGAUCAAAAUGGAAACUGCUUCAGCUUUCCCAGGCAGGGUCUUGCUGCCCUCCUGUAGUACAUGCUUCAGCACGUACUGAUUUCCUGGAAUGUGACCUGGAAGCGAGAAGAAGCAUUCAAGGCAUCCAACGCCCGGGCACCGACUGCCCCCCGAGCUUGACAUUUUUCUCAGCUGUACCUCUACGUUGUCACGGGCUUGGAUGUGUGCCAUGCAUCACAGAGAGCAGUCAAGUCUGGGUGGCUGGAGAAAAGACCCCAGAGCGUGCCACAGGAGAGCCAGGCGAGCCCCAGGGACAGCCAGGAAUCCCAGUGCCGAGGAGAAACACCCACCCACUGGGAAAGCCUUUGCAAAACCCUCGGGACAGCACAGAUGGAAACAGAAUGUGCAUUCUGGAGCGGCUCCCCUGCUCAGGGAGGCGGGCUUGCAGGAGGAGUGGAGGCUGAGUCAGCACUAGAGGACUGCAGCCUCCACCGCCUGAGCUGCACCCGGGUCUCCAUGGAGCCCAACCCAGACUCCAGCUCCUCAGCGGGGAGCUCCUCACUUGGCAGGGGGCUGGCUGUGCACAGGUCCUAAGCCGGGUCUGUAGUCCUCAGGGUCUGCACCGCAGGCUGGUCCAGGGUCUGAAGCCAGUUUUGUCUGCAUGUUGGUCUGCCCUCCCAUCUGGGUCCACAGGAGACCCCCUCUGCACACAAGGAGCCCCAAGGGAACGCCCCUCCCUGCCUCUUUCAGCCUGUCAGUCCCCAUUGGAGAUGAAACCUCAUGACUCAUGGGAUCUAUUAUAUUAUCAAAGUCUCCUCUGCAGGGUAAACGCCCCUCGCUGGGUGGAGGUUGAAGCCUCUAGCCACCCGGGUGUUGAGCUCAGUUCUCCAGACGGGAGGCCGAGAAGGGUCCCAGGAAAUUAGUGUGGGAAAAGGAGUAGGGGGAAGGGAAGGGCUUUGGGACUCGAGCCUUCUAGCCCCUGGAAGGCUGGGAUGCAUUUAUGUAGCUUGGCAGAGACUUCCCCGAGCCCAGUCAGGCCCUGGAUGCUUGGCAUUCCAUAAAGGCCAGCACAUUCCGGAAAGCAGCUGAGCACAUGAUCAGGGAUCUGGUAGAGCUGCCCCCUGACCUCCUGGUCCGACUGAGCCCUGGGGAGCCGGAUGCCGGCUUGAGCUGCAGUCAUGUUGGGUGGAAACGUGGCUCAGGGCUGCACCUGGUUAGAACAUGCUCCUGGCCUGUCCCUAGUGAGCAGGAAGCUGAAUUUGUCACAAUGCUGCUGGGCCUGGUGAGACGGCCCUGGUGGAGGACCUGCAGCUUCCUGGUACUGCAUGGGGCCAAGGGCUUUUGGUGGAUGAAGCUGCUCCUUUACCAGGGUUUCCAGCACACACAGAGUACGUCCUGCUUUUUUCUUCAGAUGGCCACUGGUCCACAUGGCCCUGCCCAGGCCAUGGCAUUUGGGGCAUGCUAUGGCCUCUCACAUACUCAGCAGGAUGGUGUCAACUUGGCUGGGUUACCAGGUGCCCAGAUAUUUGGUCAAACAUUAUUCUGGGUGCAUCUGUGGGUGUUUCUGGGUGAGAUUAUCAUUUGUGUCUGUAGACUGAGAAAAGCAUGCGAUCCUCCCCAAUGUAGGUGGGCCUUGCCUAAUCAGUCGCCAGUAUUGCUAAAACAGUGUUGGAGGAAGAGGGAACCUCUUCUGCUUGGCCACCUGGGCCGGGACAUCAGUCUUUUCUGCCCUUGGACUUGAACUGAAAUAUCGUCUCUUCCCAGGUCUUUUCUGACUGGAACCGCACCAUCAGCUCUCCUGGGUCUCCAGCAUGCACACAGGAGCCAACUCCUCUUUCUUUAGAUACACAUCCUCUGGGUUCUGCUUUUCUAGAGACCCCUGAUUCACACGCUCAGUAAUUUCCAUCACUGAGAUUCAUGGCCCUUGGCCCUGCUCCCUGCAGGAACUGGAUAUGAAAAAACAAAAGGGUUCCCCAUGUUCAUGCGUAUCGACAGGCCCAGUUCCUGGGUGUCCCCAGGAACUUCUGCCUCUCCCCGCAGUGGGCACCCGCUUUCCACGGGAGUCUGCUGCAGGUGCAGGCAGGCGGGGAGCACCCCGGGAGGGCACCUCUCUGUGCAUAGGGCUUCCGAAAUAGCUCAAACCCCACUCUCUGAUAAUGCCUUCUGUUAAUUCAGAGUUUUGAGGAGAAGCCUAAAAUGCUCAGGGGGUUGAAAAAUUUGAGAUGUGUUCAGAUGGAGGUCCAAAGAGUCCUUUCACACUCGUCCUUGGGGGUCUCCAGCGAGCUCAGCAACGUCGCUUCCUGGAGAUGGGGGAAAGAAGAGAAAGAUUGGGGUGGACUCACACGUUUAUUUUCAAGAGGUGCUCACGCACCGUGGGAAAAUGAGCUGAAAGUUCUAGAUAAACCAAUAAAACAACAGAAUCUGUCAUUUUUACCUGUCAGUUGGGGGUGGGGGGGCAGGCACUGCAGCCUUAACACACUCUUUCAAAAGAGGCUCCCUUCCCCAGGCCAACUCAUGCCCACAUUAAAUUCCUGAAAAACUUUCAAAUUUGCAGGUGCAUAAUGCCCCAAGGCUCCAGGUUCUAUGAUCUCAGUGUUAAAACCUGACACAGGGCAACGGUACAUUUACUGGGUGCUUUGGGGACAGGAUGUGAAACUGGGACACUCGGUGGGGUUGGGCCAGGGUCAGACCCAAGUGAGCAGGGCACCCCGCUGUGUGACUGUGGAACUUCAAAGGGAAGGCGGAGGCCCUGCUCUAGGUCAGCCCGGAGAAGAUGGACACGCCCUGUGGGUUUCCAUGGCUCCUGACGCUGCUGUGGCCGGCUGGGGCAGGGCCACCCCUGCAGAAUGGUGUCCUCCUGCCUCCCAGCCGGGGCCUGAGCUCACUCUAGGUGACCGAGGGCGAGGAGGCCUCCUUUCUCUGAACUAGAAUAAGAAGGAAAUAUGACUUGGCUUUGGAGAUUCCCCCCCAGGCUCUUCCCCUAAACACCCACAGUGGUCCCAUUUUGCGUGGCUCACGGUUCCCGGUGGGAGCCCUGUCCCCCUGAAUAGCUUAUGAGAAAUAUGAGCAGAAAAAUCCAGUUCCUAGAAAGCCCGGGGCAGUGCUUCGUGUCUGAGCCGAUGAGAUCAUCCAUCCCAGGAAGCCCCCGGGGCCCUUACUCAACGUGAGUCCACCUCAGUCCCUGGAAGCCACCUGGGCAGCCCCUUGGAGAUAUGGAGUGGGGAGCUUCGUGUGGUUGGCUUAUCCAAGUCCACUGCCUUCCGUGGUCUGACUCGGAAAGCAGGA